AGGACGAACGCUGACGGCGUGCUUAACACAUGCAAGUCGAACGGUGAAGCCCUUCGGGGUGGAUCAGUGGCGAACGGGUGAGUAACACGUGGGCAAUCUGCCCUGCAUUCUGGGACAAGCCUUGGAAACGAGGUCUAAUACCGGAUACGACGCAUCUCCGCAUGGAGUGUGCGUGGAAAGCUCCGGCGAUGCAGGAUGAGCCCGCGGCCUAUCAGCUUGUUGGUGGGGUAAUGGCCUACCAAGGCGACGACGGGUA
rnacentral:rRNA from 1 species